rnacentral:rRNA from 1 species
CCUACGGGAGGCAGCAGUGAGGAAUAUUGGUCAAUGGCCGGAAGGCUGAACCAGCCAUGCCGCGUGAAGGUCAGUGCCCUAUGGGCGUUAAACUUCUUUUGUGCGGGAGCAAUAAUGGUCACGUGUGGCCAGACGAGAGUACCGUACGAAUAAGCAUCGGCUAACUCCGUGCCAGCAGCCGCGGUAAUACGGGGGAUGCAAGCGUUAGCCGGAGUUAUUGGGGUUAAAGGGUGCGUAGGCUGUGAGGUAAGUCAGCGGUGAAAUGCCCCCGCUCAACGGGGUGAAGUGCCAUUGAUACUGCCUUGCUGGAAUGCGGAUGCCGUGGGAGGAAUGUGUGGUGUAGCGGUGAAAUGCAUAGAUAUCACACAGAACACCGAUUGCGAAGGCAUCUCACGAAUCCGCGAUUGACGCUGAUGCACGAAAGCGUGGGUAUCAAACAGGAUUAGAUACCCCGGUAGUC